UACGAGGGGGGCAAGCGUUGUUCGGAAUUAUUGGGCGUAAAGAGCUCGUAGGCGGCCUGUUGCGUCCGCUGUGAAAGCCCGGGGCUUAACCCCGGGUCUGCAGUGGAUACGGGCAGGCUAGAGGUAGGUAGGGGAGAAUGGAAUUCCCGGUGUAGCGGUGAAAUGCGCAGAUAUCGGGAGGAACACCGGUGGCGAAGGCGGUUCUCUGGGCCUUACCUGACGCUGAGGAGCGAAAGCGUGGGGAGCAAACCGG
rnacentral:rRNA from 1 species